rnacentral:rRNA from 1 species
CCGGGAAUUUUGGGCAAUGGGCGAAAGCCUGACCCAGCAACGCCGCGUGAGGGAUGAAGUAUUUCGGUAUGUAAACCUCGAAAGAAUGGGAAGAAUAAAUGACGGUACCAUUUAUAAGCUCCGGCUAACUACGUGCCAGCAGCCGCGGUAAUACGUAGGGAGCAAGCGUUGUUCGGAUUUACUGGGCGUAAAGGGCGCGUAGGCGGCGCGGUAAGUCACUUGUGAAAUCUCUGAGCUUAACUCAGAACGGCCAAGUGAUACUGCUGUGCUAGAGUGCGGAAGAGGCAACCGGAAUUCUUGGUGUAGCGGUGAAAUGCGUAGAUAUCAAGAGGAACACCUGAGGCGAAGGCGGGUUGCUGGGCCGACACUGACGCUGAUGCGCGAAAGCCAGGGGAGCAAACG